ensembl:snRNA Gm22606 predicted gene, 22606
UGCUGUUUGGUAACAAUAUACUAAAGUUGGGAUGAUACAGAGAUGAAGAGCUUGACCCUUGAACAAUGAUACCAUGCAAAUUCAUGAUGUAUUCCACAUCCUC